AAUCACCAAGCGGUCGAUGCAAGUUCAAGGAGAGACGUGCGUGACGCACAAGUUAAACACCGCGUCAGCAGAAAAGCUCUGGUGGUCCCACUAAACCAGCUGGGCCUUUUUUAGUAAACAGAUUGUGGGACAAAGGCUGACGAGCACGCAGGCCCCCUAUCAGCACGAGCCGCAGCGGACAAUGAACAGCUCCCAAAGCAAAACACGACCAGUCUACGUGCACAUAACUUAAGCCAAAGGUCCAGAAUAGGAUAAGAGGUAAGGGACACCGCUGUUGGACACUUGACGCUUGGACGUUAUCCAGCUCUAAUGGAAAAUAAACACCUCUCCCUGGACAAAACAGGACAUGCACGGUUAUAACCCAGAUUUAGAGACUGACCGUUCAAACUCUGCACAGUUCAUUCAUUGUGCUGUGAUCAAACCUGUCCAGAGUGACUGAUGUGAGCUGGUGCGCUGUGGAGAAGCUGGCCAGCCCAGAUGUUCUCCCCAGUGGUAGUGAAGGGAACCAGAUGUAACAGUGAGGCAUUAGAAGCUUUGGAUGCCUGGUUCCGGUCACCAUGUCAUGGUCAUUCAAGUGAUCCUGAAAAACACUUGAAUUCCCCUCCAUGUCAAAUUUAUUGUGCACUCAUUAAUUCACCCUUUACGCUUCAGUAUGUGCAGCUAUUUGUUUGGUAGUCGGUGCAAAUCAAAAUAAACUGUUUAGAGCAUUAA